UGGAGGAAAGCAGGGGAUCGCAAGACCUUGCGCUAAAGGAGCGGCCGAUGUCUGAUUAGCUAGUUGGUGGGGUAAAGGCUUACCAAGGCAACGAUCAGUAGUUGGUCUGAGAGGACGGCCAACCACACUGGGACUGAGACACGGCCCAGACUCCUACGGGAGGCAGCAGUGGGGAAUUUUGGACAAUGGGCGAAAGCCUGAUCCAGCCAUGCCGCGUGAGUGAAGAAGGCCUUCGGGUUGUAAAGCUCUUUUAGUCGGGAAGAAAGAGUUGCAAUGAAUAAUUGUGAUUUAUGACGGUACCGACAGAAAAAGCACCGGCUAACUACGUGCCAGCAGCCGCGGUAAUACGUAGGGUGCGAGCGUUAAUCGGAAUUACUGGGCGUAAAGGGUGCGCAGGCGGUCUUGCAAGUCAGAUGUGA
rnacentral:rRNA from 1 species